GUCGAACGCGAAAGUGGAGCAAUCCAUGAGUAGAGUGGCAAACGGGUGAGUAACGCGUGGGUGACCUGCCUUCGAGCGGGGGAUAACGUUCCGAAAGGGACGCUAAUACCGCAUAACAUCCUGUCUUUUAAGAGGCGGAGAUCAAAGCCGGGGAUCGCAAGACCUGGCACUCGAAGAGGGGCCCGCGUCCGAUUAGCUAGUUGGUGAGGUAAUGGCUCACCAAGGCUCCGAUCGGUAUCCGGCCUAAGAGGGCGGACGGACACACUGGGACUGAGACACGGCCCAGACUCCUACGGGAGGCAGCAGUGGGGAAUUGUUCGCAAUGGGCGCAAGCCUGACGACGCAACGCCGCGUGGAGGAUGAAGAUCUUCGGGUCGCAAACUCCUUUCGAUCGAGACGAACGGCUUCCGGGUGAACAAUCCGGGAGAGUGACGGUACCGAGAGAAGAAGCCCCGACUAACUCCGUGCCAGCAGCCGCGGUAAUACGGGGGGGGCAAGCGUUGUUCGGAAUUACUGGGCGUAAAGGGCUCGUAGGUGGCCAACUAAGUCAGACGUGAAAUCCCUCGGCUUAACCGGGGAACUGCGUCUGAUACUGGAUGGCUUGAGGUUGGGAGAGGGACGCGGAAUUCCAGGUGUAGCGGUGAAAUGCGUAGAUAUCUGGAGGAACACCGGUGGCGAAGGCGGCGUCCUGGACCAAUUCUGACACUGAGGAGCGAAAGCCAGGGGAGCAAACGGGAUUAGAUACCCCGGUAGUCCUGGCCCUAAACG
rnacentral:rRNA from 1 species